rnacentral:rRNA from 1 species
GACGAACGCUGGCGGCAUGCCUAAUACAUGCAAGUUGAACGAUGAUAUUCUCUGCUUGCAGAGAAUUGAAGAGUAGCGAACGGGUGAGUAACACGUGGGGAACCUGCCCAUGAGAGGGGGAUAACAUUCGGAAACGGAUGCUAAUACCGCAUAAUGCUUUGGACCGCCUGGUCCAGAGACGAAAGACGGCUUUUGCUGUCACUCAUGGAUGGCCCCGCGCCGUAUUAGCUAGUUGGUGAGGUAAUGGCUCACCAAAGCUGUGAUACGUAGCCGACCUGAGAGGGUGAUCGGCCACACUGGGACUGAGACACGGCCCAGACUCCUACGGGAGGCAGCAGUAGAGAAUCUUCCACAAUGGGCGAAAGCCUGAUGGAGCAAUGCCGCGUGAAUGAAGAAGGUCUUCGGAUCGUAAAGUUCUGUUAUUAGAGAAGAACAAGUCAAGGAGUAACUGUCUUGACUUUGACGGUACCUAACCAGAAAGUCACGGCUAACUACGUG